rnacentral:rRNA from 1 species
UACGAAGGGUGCAAACGUUGCUCGGAAUCAUUGGGCGUAAAGCGCACGUAGGCGGCCCCGCAAGUCGGACGUGAAAUCCCUCAGCUCAACUGAGGACGUGCAUCCGAAACUGCAGGGCUUGAGUACUGAAGAGGAUCGCGGAAUUCCCGGUGUAGAGGUGAAAUUCGUAGAUAUCAGGAGGAACACCGGUGGCGAAAGCGGCUUCCUGGCCCGACAUUGACGCUCAUGUACGAGAGCGUGGGGAGCAAACAGG